rnacentral:rRNA from 1 species
CAGUAGCCGCGGGAAUACGUAGGGUGCGAGCGUUAAUCGGAAUUACUGGGCGUAAAGCGUGCGCAGGCGGUUAUAUAAGACAGUUGUGAAAUCCCCGGGCUCAACCUGGGAACUGCAUCUGUGACUGUAUAGCUAGAGUACGGUAGAGGGGGAUGGAAUUCCGCGUGUAGCAGUGAAAUGCGUAGAUAUGCGGAGGAACACCGAUGGCGAAGGCAAUCCCCUGGACCUGUACUGACGCUCAUGCACGAAAGCGUGGGGAGCAAACAGGAUUAGAUACCCGCGUAGUCCCUGUCUCUUAUAC